GCUUUGGGUCCAAUCAGAUGACGGAUCUUAUCAGCUGAGGAAUUUGUCCUGAUGUCUGGAUUUUAGCUGAGUUUGGUGUCCAGUGUUGUAAAGUAAGAUGGUUGAAGGCAAAGGCAGAGAUUACCUGUAUUGAUGAACUAGACAGUGUGUUCACUAAGUUUCAAAAUCUUCCAGAACUUUUUCUUGCAAAUGAAUGCUACAGAUGGAGAAAAUGCCAGGGUUUGAACUAUUAACUGAAGAACAUAAAGGGGGGAAGGAAAAGAUGAAAUAAAAAGAUGAAAUGACUGCACUCUGAAGGAUCUCAGUCUAGUCGG